AAACCAACCGGGAUUGCCUUAGUAACGGCGAGUGAAGCGGCAAAAGCUCAAAUUUGAAAUCUAGUACCUUCGGUGCUCGAGUUGUAAUUUGUAGAGGGAUACUUUGGGGCCGUUCCUUGUCUAUGUUCCUUGGAACAGGACGUCAUAGAGGGUGAGAAUCCCGUGUGGCGAGGAGUGCGGUUCUAUGUAAAGUGCCUUCGAAGAGUCGAGUUGUUUGGGAAUGCAGCUCUAAGUGGGUGGUAAAUUCCAUCUAAAGCUAAAUAUUGGCGAGAGACCGAUAGCGAACAAGUACAGUGAUGGAAAGAUGAAAAGAACUUUGAAAAGAGAGUGAAAAAGUACGUGAAAUUGUUGAAAGGGAAGGGCAUUUGAUCAGACAUGGUGUUUUGCGCCCUCUGCUCCUUGUGGGUGGGGGACUCUCGCAGCUCACUGGGCCAACAUCAGUUUUGGUGGUCGGACAAAUCCGUAGGAAUGUAGCUUACCUCGGUAAGUGUUAUAGCCUGCGGGAAUACGGCCAGCCGGGA
rnacentral:rRNA from 1 species